UGGUCCUCUUUUAGUUGGAUAAUUUGCACGGAGGGGCAAGCGCUGCGCGAAGAAGAGGAAGAUAGAGCGAGUCGCGAGCGGAGCUGCUGGCGGCGGAGGAGAUCCUCACAGGCGGUGUGGGGCGUGGACAUGGAAGCUCCGGCGGUGGAUGAGCAUGGUGGCUGGGAACCUCCAGUUCGAAUAGAGAGAGAGAGAACGGGAUGGAGGAAGGAGAGAACAAGAGGAAGAAGAGGGAGAGGAGGAAGGCAGGUCGGCGUUGGGUACCUGGUUCCGUCGGGAGUCGCUGGCGUCGAGGUGGCGGGGCGAGGCAGGGGUCGGGCGCUGGCUCUCGCAAUCCAUACGGGUUCGAGGCAGGGCGUGGGCGGCUCGGGCGCGCCACGCAUGGAGUCUUGUGGGGCGUGGGUCGUUCGACCGAUCUGGAUGAUUCUCCAUCAGUUCUGGUUCCCCACCAUGGCUACGGGCGCCUCUCGCCCUCUCCGUUCUGCACUCCUCCUCCUCCAAUUUAGGUGUGCGACCAUAGCUAAGGGCCGCCUCCUCCUAUCCAUCCUUCCAAUCUGGAGCAUAGGUGGAGAGCCUGGUUGUGCGCGGCGGAGAUGGCGCCCCGCGUCGGCGCCCCGUAAUCCUACACGGAGCUCUGUCGAGGCCAUGACAUCCCCACCCAGGUAUAGGCGCACAUUGAUCUAAAAAAGGCACCAACCCAAUUGAACCUCUCCCUUGACCCUUUCUUCUUCAUCUUCCAAUCUCCUCUGUUAUCAAGUUCUAACAGUACAUCAAUCCAAGCAACUCUUUUUAGAUUAAUUAAGGAAUCAAUAUCACGAUGGUGCAUGCUUGAUGCAGCAGAGGAUCACAGGUGUAUUGCCGGCAGUUUCAAUUUAGCCAGGCGGUUGCCAUCAUCGUUAGACUUCACUGGAAGAACUGCAAUGGCUCUUUGUUCCAGCCAUAUCCGAUCUCCCGAGCCAGAGCUUUCAGGUCACUACAACACACUGUUUUCACGUCGCAUCGCACCAGCUCCUGGUGAGUUUGCUCACUUGAGUCAUAAUAGAGGGAGUAAGAAUGUCAGAAGGGAGAAGAACAAAAAAUCAUGCUGUCAGAGACGACAUCCAAACCAUUUUGUGUGUGUUGGAGUGAUUGAACCUUGUCAAUCAGAGCUGACAUCGCGUCUCCUUCCUCGUACAUAAUUUUUGGGUAGUUGUGCAUCUAUAUUCCAUUCUGUACACCAAGAGAUUAUGUUGUUUUCCUAUUACAAAAUUGAACUAUGUGAGACGUUGCUAUUUACUGAAGCAGUUACGAUCUAGUACAUCGUUAUCAUUCUCAACAACUUCAUAGUAAGCCAGUACAGAUUGAGAUCUGACAACUAUUGCUUAUCUGCGUUCAAGUUAGCUCAAUUGUUCUGACAUGCGAUCUUUUUUUCCUCUCGUGUUUAUUCUUGAGACAUUUUACAGAAAUAUAAAUAGCAGGCAAGCAAUCAGGUUGAUCAGAGCCAGACAGUUCACUGCAGUAAGCAAUGCAAUGUAAGAGCAUAUGUUGUCAUUAAAAUUCCAUUCAAGAAGGAUUUCAUAUGUGUGUGUUAAUCACUUUGGUGCAUUUAUCGAUAAAUGAUUUAUUGGCCAUCUACCAAUAAAUCGGUUGAGCUCCUCGAGGCAAAAACCUCCAAAUUUAUGGCAAAAUUCAUCCUUGUGCUGGAUUACAAGCACUUAUGUUGUGUACAUUUCCGUGGGCAGAAGGAUCAGUUGGUUGGUUAUGAGUUUUGUGCUUGGUAAUUUUUCAGAUCGUGGCAGAUUGUUAUUGCUAGCAAUUACUCACUGAUCUCUGAUGUGGCUCUCAAUAGUGAUGCAUUACAAAAUGGACCGAUCCAUCAUCGUUAAUCUACUGCUGUCGGCUUCUUCCGAGCUACUAAUAUCAGGUUGUUUUAUUUCUGUUGAGUGGUUUAAGCUUCAAGGAUGCAACUGAAAUGUGAUCAAGUGGUUGUUCUCAACUUCUCAUUCAGUUCAUCCUGAUAAUCUGGCUAGAGAACUGUAUAUUAGUUUAUUAAGUUGGUUUCCUAUCUGUAAUGUAGUUUAUGUGUGAAUCCUGCAAGUCGUCAUGUUCAAUUGUGGUUGUCAUGUAGAAUUUGUAUUAAUCCUAGUGAGUGCAAACUAUAGGGUUAGUUGUGUUUGAUGUUGAAUCCCUGAUGAUCACAUUGUCGGAAAAUUAUUCCUGGUUUCCUUUCUGUUAGUCAGUUUUAAGUGUGAAUGGUACAAGUCAUAUUAUUUGAUUGUUCUUUUGUUAUCGAAUCUGCCCGAGCAUAUUGUCCACAAACUAUAUUUCUUUUCAAUAUGUCAGUCGUAUUUCAGUGAUUGUUUUGUUAAUGUUCAAAUUAGCUACAUUAAAACUAAAAUCAUAUGGGAAUCAGUGCGAUUUACAAGGACUCUUUGGGGAGAUACUUUGCAACUGUGAAACAGCAAUAAAUCAUGUUCUGAGUGCUUAGAUUGAAAACAUCGAGACAAUUUUUUAUAUUGCAGUGGGGUUGGCUGCUGUAUUAUGGACGAUUUGGAGAUUUUUGAAUGAGGCAUGUUUUGAGAAUAAAAGCGGUGUCUGAUACUUUUGUUCUGAUUCAUGUGGUUUGUUAUUUGGUUAAACUCAAGCUAAAUUUUGCAGAUUAGCGCUGAUUUGGGGAGUAAAGCUCUUCGAGCAAGUGACAAAUCAAGUCUUUCAAGCUUCUCAAAGAUGGUGACCUGGAGUGGUUUGACUGGAAGCUUAAAAGCAAUUAAAGUGAAGAGAGGAAUCAAACUUUUAAAGCCACUCUUGCCAUUUGUGGACUGUUCCUGCUUGUUGGUGACUGCUUUUGCGAGUAUGUUCACUCUCAUCUAGCGAUGAAAUUUUUUGCUUCUGUUGUGCAGCUGCUGAAAGGGCAAACCCCAGAUCCUAGAUAUCUGUGGGUUUUGGGUGCCCUCUGGGGUUACCUGAAUGUUCCUAUUUCUGUUUUCUUCUUCCCUUUUUAGUUUUCUUCAUGCUGUAGAUGAACAAUUGGUUUCUGUUAAUAGAAUUCAGAGAGGAGGCUCUCUUUUAGAAAAUCUAAUGAGGGGGAGACUGAAUGACCGAGUGUAGAUGACACUGACCAAGUUUAUUAGUAUGCGAUCCUA